GAUGAACGCUGGCGGCGUGCCUAAUACAUGCAAGUCGAGCGAACAGACGAGGAGCUUGCUCCUCUGACGUUAGCGGCGGACGGGUGAGUAACACGUGGAUAACCUACCUAUAAGACUGGGAUAACUUCGGGAAACCGGAGCUAAUACCGGAUAAUAUAUUGAACCGCAUGGUUCAAUAGUGAAAGACGGUUUUGCUGUCACUUAUAGAUGGAUCCGCGCCGCAUUAGCUAGUUGGUAAGGUAACGGCUUACCAAGGCAACGAUGCGUAGCCGACCUGAGAGGGUGAUCGGCCACACUGGAACUGAGACACGGUCCAGACUCCUACGGGAGGCAGCAGUAGGGAAUCUUCCGCAAUGGGCGAAACCCUGACGGAGCAACGCCGCGUGAGUGAUGAAGGUCUUCGGAUCGUAAAACUCUGUUAUUAGGGAAGAACAAAUGUGUAAGUAACUAUGCACGUCUUGACGGGACCUAAUCAGAAAGCCACGGCUAACUACGU
rnacentral:rRNA from 1 species